AUUGAACGCUGGCGGCAUGCUUUACACAUGCAAGUCGAACGGUAACAGGCCGCAAGGUGCUGACGAGUGGCGAACGGGUGAGUAAUGCAUCGGAACGUGCCCAGUCGUGGGGGAUAACGCAGCGAAAGCUGCGCUAAUACCGCAUACGAUCUAUGGAUGAAAGCGGGGGACCGAAAGGCCUCGCGCGAUUGGAGCGGCCGAUGUCAGAUUAGGUAGUUGGUGGGGUAAAGGCCCACCAAGCCAACGAUCUGUAGCUGGUCUGAGAGGACGACCAGCCACACUGGGACUGAGACACGGCCCAGACUCCUACGGGAGGCAGCAGUGGGGAAUUUUGGACAAUGGGCGCAAGCCUGAUCCAGCAAUGCCGCGUGCAGGAAGAAGGCCUUCGGGUUGUAAACUGCUUUUGUACGGAACGAAACGGUCCGGGUUAAUACCCUGGGCUAAUGACGGUACCGUAAGAAUAAGCACCGGCUAACUACGUGCCAGCAGCCGCCGUAAGAC
rnacentral:rRNA from 1 species